UACAUAUUCUAGCGAUUAGGUUCUCUAUCCCUUACGGGAAGAGUUAAAAGGGAAGCUGGUUCAAUUCCGGCACGGUCCCGCCACUGUAAAUAGAAUGAUUCAUCAUUCUAAAGUCAGGAACCUGCCUAAUCAUGAGCGACCAU
rnacentral:ncRNA from 2 species